rnacentral:lncRNA from 1 species
CAGGAAGGGAAGUAGUGGAAGCCAGCAGAUUACUCCCAAGGCACCCUCCUUACUGCCCCGUGCCUUUGCCUUGUGCUUGGAAACCAGUAACCCCACACGUACAGAGCCUACAUAUUUGCACAAAGAACUGGAAAAGCUGCUGCACUUUUCGGAGUUGGGGGUGGGCUUGGUUUCCACGUUAAUACACUCCCGGGCGGAUAUAUGGUGUCCAGACUCCCCAUGCCGAGCGCUGCCUAUAAAUGAACACUCGCCACACACUGGAGCCUAUUCCUGAGGCUGCAGAAAGUACCAGGGCAUUUUCUCCAGUUUAAAGUUUAUCAUUAGGCAUCCGCUGUAGAAGAGCUCAGCACACUGGGCUCUGUGAAAGUCACCUUCUGAAGUGCCUGGUGUUGAUGGAGACAAACGGUACUUGGUUUCCUUUUUUAACACCUGUCCCUCAACAAACCACAUUACUGAUGAGGCAUCUUUCUGAUGUCAGAAGAAAUGUCACUUGUUAGAGACAGUAGUACAGAGAACAGGACUGUGGAGUGGGGAGCACUAACUGUGCUUGGGAGGCAGACAGACUUGGGUUUGAGUCCUGACUGAGCCCCUGAGCAGCAUGUGACUUGGGGCAAGUUUCCUCAUCUGGAAAACAGAGAUAAUAAUAUCUACCCAACAAAAGAGAGGAUGCAGUGAACUUGUGGCUAAAAAACGGGCUCUUGUAACUUCCUUCUCCUCUUUAUCAAACCCUCCAGCAGCAACCCUAGGUGGCCAAUCAAGGGAUGCCAAAAAACACUCAGCCUCUUUAAUUUUGUGCAUACCAAAAUCCCCUGUUCCUUUUGCAAAAUACUUCAAAUUUACCAACCAAGAUCUGUGUGUAAACGUCCCUCCUUGGAUCUUUCCCCUCUAUCCAUCCUGGACAGAACACCUCGGGAGUCGGAUGGUAGGGGUUGAGCUCAGGUGUUCAGCAAGGCCAGCUCUGCAAGGGGAUAAGACAUGAGGUGGAUCCCACCUCACCUGGACCACUGACUCACUGUGUGACCCCCAGAAAGUCACACAACCUCUCUGGGCCUCAAAUACCCCUGGAAGCUAUGCUUUCAUGGACAACAGUAAAAAAGAUGGGUAAAGACACCCAUCAAAGUCCUGGGGACAAAGAAGUGGGAAUGUGACUGCGGUCGGGGUGAAAGAGGACAACUUAUAACGUUUAUUUUUCUAAAAAUUUAACAAACGACUUGAGGCCAAAUAUGCCACAAAUUUUGAAGUCAGCUUUAAAUGCAGAGUUAGGUAUAUUAACACUUUGUACUCUCCCGCAUUUUCAGAAACCUUGGAUGGCAGCCAACAGAUCCUGAGCGCGGGGCCGCAUCUUCCCGGUGCGCUGUGGCCCCUAGUCCCCCCCAGACCCUAUUCUAUCAGAGGGCCACCCCGAGGCUGGGGCGCUGACCGUCCAAGGUCACCGGCGCAGGGGCGGUGUCUGGGGCUCGGGGCGAGAAGGAGGCCCGGCGCGGGGCGGGGCGGGGACGCUCACGCUCAGCCCUGGCCGCGGCGCGCGCGGUCCCUAAAG